rnacentral:tRNA from 1 species
GGGCAUAAAUGUGAGGUAAAUCAAUGCCCUAAGAUGGUAUUUUCCCCGCCUUGACAUGGCGGGGGUCACAGGUUCAAUCCCUGUCGCGCCCACCA